rnacentral:lncRNA from 1 species
UUAUUCAGUCAUAAUCUAAUCUCAUAUUCAGUCUGAAUAUGAGAUUAGAGUUAUUUAGAACAUGAGUUAAGAGUUCAUUAGAUUAUGAGUUUAGAGCAAAUAAAUAACUUUAACUAAAAUUAAAUAUUGAUAAGUUAGAUUUUUUUAUAUAUUGAGAUUAUUUAUAUAUUGAGAGUCUUGCUUUUAGGGCUGGUUGCACGAAGUCAACGCGAUUUUAAUUAAAAAAGUAUAUACAUGAAAUGAUUUUUAAAAGUUUAACGUCUGCCAGAUGUUUAUCGCUUGAAUCAUAAACUAAGUGAUGCAGUGAUGAAUAAAGAUUUCAUGAAUCAAGCAACAAAAUUUGAAGGAUCUAAAAAUGCAUAAACAGCUUGGUUAUUGAUGGAAAUUCAGUAUAAACUAUACUGGAUAAAUGAAUCUACUAAUUUACCUUCAGCAGCAUUUACUUUAAAGUCUACUUCCUCUAGUGGCGCUGACAAUGUCUAUAAAGAAAUAUCUACUUCAUUUUGUGGCGAUGAAAAUUGUGCUGAUGCAGACGAAUCGUCAUCGACAUUUUCAAACAAACAUUGUCUGAAACUUUGUGGUUUUCUGGAUGUAUCUGACACUGAAAAUUUAUUUCAUGAGUGCAUGAGUCCUAAAAACUUUUAUAAGUUUUAUUUGUGUACCAAAUUCGGUUUUAUGGACCAUUUCUUGUAAGAAAUGCUUUUGAAAUAAUCAAGUAGAUUUGUUGUUUUUAAA